AUUGAACGCUGGCGGAAUGCUUUACACAUGCAAGUCGAACGGCAGCACGGACUUCGGUCUGGUGGCGAGUGGCGAACGGGUGAGCAAUGUAUCGGAACGUGCCCAGUCGUGGGGGAUAACGUAGGGAAAAUUACGCUAAUACCGCAUACGAUCUAUGGCUGACAGCGGGGGAUCGCAAGACCUCGCGCGAUUGGAGCGGCCGAUAUCAGAUUAGGUAGUUGGUGGGGUAAAGGCCCACUAAGCCAACUAUCUGUAGCUGGUCGGAGAGGACGACCAGCCACACUGGAACUGAGACACGGUCCAGACUCCUACGGGAGGCAGCAGUGGGGAAUUUUGGACAAUGGGCGAAAGCCUGAUCCAGCCAUUCCGCGUGCAGGAUGAAGGCCCUCGGGUUGUAAACUGCUUUUGUACAGAACGAAAAGGUCUCUACUAAUACUAGGAGCUCAUGACGGUACUGUAAGAAUAAGCACCGGCUAACUACGUGCCAGCCGCCGCGGUAA
rnacentral:rRNA from 1 species